rnacentral:rRNA from 3 species
CGGAUUGGAGUCUGCAACUCGACUCCAUGAAGUCGGAAUCGCUAGUAAUCGUGGAUCAGAAUGCCACGGUGAAUACGUUCCCGGGCCUUGUACACACCGCCCGUCACACCAUGGGAGUGGGUUGCAAAAGAAGUAGGUAGCUUAACCUUCGGGAGGGCGCUUACCACUUUGUGAUUCAUGACUGGGGUGAAGUCGUAACAAGGUAACCGUAGGGGAACCUGCGGUUGGAUCACCUCCUUA